UCCAAGGAAGGCAGCAGGCACGCAAAUUACCCACUCCCGGCACGGGGAGGUAGUGACAAAAAAUAACGAUACGGGACUCUUAUGAGGCCCCGUAAUCGGAAUGAGUACACUUUAAAUCCUUUAACAAGGAUCCAUUGGAGGGCAAGUCUGGUGCCAGCAGCCGCGGUAAUUCCAGCUCCAAUAGCGUAUAUUAAAGUUGUUGCGGUUAAAAAGCUCGUAGUUGGUUCUGCGUGCUACGCUGUCGGUUCGCCGCCUGCCGGUGUAACUGGCAUGCCGUGGCAUGUCCUGUCGGUGGCGUUCGGGUACGCUGUCGGUUCGCCGCCUGCCGGUGUAACUGGCAUGCCGUGGCAUGUCCUGUCGGUGGCGUUCGGGAGCUUCGCCUAGGUGACUCCUCCGGACCGCAAGGUACGGUUGGUUGUUCAACCGGGAGCCUCCCCGUUCGCCUACUCUAUCCUACCUAGGUGCUCUUCACCGAGUGUCGAGGUAGGCCGACACGUUUACUUUGAACAAAUUAGAGUGCUCAAAGCAGGCUGAAAUUUCUGCCUGAAUAGUGGUGCAUGGAAUAAUAAAACAGGACCUCGGUUCUAUUUUGUUGGUUCUUAGGAACACGAGGUAAUGAUCAAUACGGACAGGCGGGGCUUGGCAAAUGCUUUCGCNNNNNNNNNNNNNNNNNNNNNNNNNNNNNNNNNNNNNNNNNNNNUUUGCCAAGUAUGUCUUGAUUGAUCAAGAACGAAAGUUAGAGGUUCGAAGGCGAUCAGAUACCGCCCUAGUUCUAACCAUAAACGAUGCCAGCCAGCGAUCCGCCGAUGUUCCUCCGAUGACUCGGCGGGGAGCUUUUUCCCGGGAAACCAAAGCUUUUGGGUUCCGGGGGAAGUAUGGUUGCAAAGCUGAAACUUAAAGGAAUUGACGGAAGGGCACCACCAGGAGUGGAGCCUGCGGCUUAAUUUGACUCAACACGGGAAACCUCACCAGGCCAGGACAUUGGAAGGAUUGACAGAUUGAUAGCUCUUUCUUGAUUCAGUGGGUAGUGGUGCAUGGCCGUUCUUAGUUGGUGG
rnacentral:rRNA from 1 species